GAUUGGGAGUAAAAUUGGGUUUGGGA
rnacentral:sRNA from 1 species